UGGGGGAUAUUGCACAAUGGGCGAAAGCCUGAUGCAGCGACGCCGCGUGGGGGAUGAAGGCUUUCGGGUUGUAAACCUCUUUCGCUAUCGAACAAGGCCCGCUUAGGGUGGGUUGAGGGUAGGUGGAGAAGAAGCGCCGGCUAACUACGUGCCAGCAGCCGCGGUAAUACGUAGGGCGCGAGCGUUGUCCGGAAUUAUUGGGCGUAAAGGGCUUGUAGGCGGCUCGUUGCGCCUGCUGUGAAAACGCGGGGCUUAACUUCGCGCGUGCAGUGGGUACGGGCAGGCUUGAGUGUGGUAGGGGUGACUGGAAUUCCAGGUGUAGCGGUGGAAUGCGCAGAUAUCUGGAGGAACACCGAUGGCGAAGGCAGGUCACUGGGCCAUUACUGACGCUGAGGAGCGAAAGCAUGGGUAGCGAACAGG
rnacentral:rRNA from 1 species